CUGGUGAUAAGUGUACCAUAAAAGAAAGCGUUACCAAGUUUUCUUAGAUUCAUGAAGACAUGAUAUUUUUAUCAAACAGUAAAGCAACAAUAUUUUCGUCUCCAUUCUGUACAUUUAGAUUGUGAGCCAUAUGAAAAGCUCUGUGCUGUCUUCUCCCUCCGAUCUGUGUGUGUCAUCCUCUUUCUUGUUAUAUGACUCCCUGUUGUCUCUGAGCCACGGUUGUCAGCAUGUAUCGUGUGCCUGUGUAGGUUGUCAAUAAGUCCCCGAGCCAAUGUCAUCGAGACAAAUUCGUUAACACAUGUUUUUCUUUGCAAAUAAAGCGACCCGAUGCCUGCAGGGGAGAUCUCUGUGUUGUGCUGUUGCUGCAGGAAGCUGUUGUGGACCCAAAUGGAAGGAUCAUAUGUUGUGUCGAACAUGUUAACUCGCACACGCAAACCGCUCACAUCAUGAGUGUGUUUAUGUCUUUUUCUUGCUUUCUGUCUCGUCACACGUGCUGACAAGGUCUGGCCUCCUGAUGAGUCUUUAAGUAUUUAAAGCUGCAGUCAGCGGCUUUACUCGUCUGACGGGGUAAGCGAGACCUCAGCAGAAGAAAAACAGAAGACUAGAAUCAGGGCCCUGUAACUGUUUUCACCAGUGUCUGUGUUUCCCCCCUCCCCACUACAAAAAUCAGGCUGUAUUCGAGAGAGCUGCUUCACAACACAAUCACAAACUCUGUGACCUUAAUGCAUGUCUAUAGAGGGAAACAUUCAUCAGGGAGACAAACAGUCUCCUAGUGGGUGAACCUUUAGGUCUUCUAGGUCUUGUUACCCCAGGGUGCCAAUUACCUGAGUCAUGCAUGUGAUCCUGCUCUUUCGAGGAGGCUACAUAACUCUGAAAAUAAGCUUUUGUACUGAAGCUGUUAGGUCAGGGCAUUUUUUGUUCUCUUUUAAUUUAUUAAAGGAAAAUGAAUAUUUCAUCCAUCCUGUUCUUAAUCUACAAGACACUCAGGAAAGCAAACAUUUCUCUCCACAAAAACAGCUUUUUAAUUAUGUCUGUGAUAGAGAGACAGAGUUGAGUUAAUUUCCUGAGCUCUGUUCAUCUAUCUUCUAUAUCCUGGACCAUCUCUGCGCUGUGACGUUAUGUCUUUAAUCUGCAGAGUCUCUCAUCACCCUCCUUCACUGCAACCCUCCUCCCUCCUCUGCUGCCUCCACCUACACAGAGGCACAUUCACUGACUGGCUUUUUAUGUUUCAAUCCUCCUUCAUUAUUUGAGGUAUUUUAAAGCUAUGCCCUCUGUAGUCUGAACACUCACAGCUCCUGAUUCAUUCAAGUAUAACCUCAUUGCGUUUUUCAGAGGCUUUAUAAAGAGUGAUGGUAAUAGAUGAGCUGAAGACUGAAGUGACAGAUCGGCAGAUUGACAAAGUAAACACGUGACUUUGGAGUCUGUGCACACCAACCAGAAGAACUUUAUGAGUCAGAUUUUGCAGCAGGCUCAGGAUGUAUUGAAACAUAAAGUCUGAUGUUGAAAUCUGUCCUAGUAAGCACCGCUUUCAUCACAUUUGUACUCUCACUGUAGUAAAUGAAUAUUGUUUCUGCAGCGAAGUUUAAUGAAACCUUUGGGUGUCAACAGAACACUAUCCGGAGGAAGUGGGAGGAUGAAAGAAGCUGGCAAAGCUACCCAGGUCGUCUCUGUUGGACUCUGAUGACUCACCUGAAUCUAAAUAAUGUGAGUCAUCACUGGUUGUACAGUACUUGGAUGUGUUCCUCUCUCUGUGUGUUUUUCUUUGUGUGUAUUAUAAAUGUGAAGCAUGAAUUCUAUUCAAACAAAGACAACAGACACUUUUCCAGGGCUGGUCCAAAAUUUCAAGGCAUAAUUAAAAUUUGCUGACAGUCAGAUAACUUUGAGAGAAAGACUUGAAACUUGAAGAUCCGGUUUCACUGGACACUUUUGAGAAGAUAUUGAGC